rnacentral:rRNA from 1 species
AUUGAACGCUGGCGGCAGGCCUAACACAUGCAAGUCGAGCGAGCGGCGGACGUGUGAGUAAUGCCUGGGAAUCUCCCAGUCGAGGGGGAUAAAAGGUGGAAACGACUGCUAAUACCGCAUCAGAUUUGAUUGCCCAGGUGGGAUUAGCUAGUUGGGGAGGUAAUGGCUCACCAAGGCGACGAUCCCUAGCUGGUCUGAGAGGAUGAGCAGCCAAACUGGAACUGAGACACGGUCCAGACUCCUACGGGAGGCAGCAGUGGGGAAUAUUGCACAAUGGGGGAAACCCUGAUGCAGCCAUGCCGCGUGUGUGAAGAAGGCCUUCGGGUUGUAAAGCACUUUCAGCGAGGAGGCGUUACUCGCAGAAGAAGCACCGGCUAACUCCGUGCCAGCAGCCGCGGUAAUAC